UGCCCCAUGGCUGAGUUGGUUACAGCGUCCGACUGUUACGGGUCAAUCGGAAGGUCGAGAGUUCGAGCCUCUCUGGGGCAG